GGACCCGUAGUGUAGCCUGGAAACACGUCUCCUUGUCACGGAGAAGAUCACGGGUUCAAAUCCCGUCGGGUCCG
rnacentral:tRNA from 2 species